UCCCUGGUGGUCCAGUAGUUAGGACUUGGCACUUCCACUGCCAAGGGCCCAGGUUCAAUCCCUGGUUGGGGAA
rnacentral:tRNA from 1 species